UACGUAGGGUGCGAGCGUUGUCCGGAAUUAUUGGGCGUAAAGAGCUUGUAGGCGGUCUGUCGCGUCUGCUGUGAAAAUCCGGGGCUCAACCCCGGACUUGCAGUGAGUACGGGCAGACUAGAGUGUGGUAGGGGAGACUGGAAUUCCUGGUGUAGCGGUGAAAUGCGCAGAUAUCAGGAGGAACACCGAUGGCGAAGGCAGGUCUCUGGGCAUUAACUGACGCUGAGGAGCGAAAGCAUGGGGAGCGAACAGG
rnacentral:rRNA from 1 species